AUCCCAGGGUGGGGGCACCUUCUCAAUAAGUCGUUAUACCUCUCCCAUGCAUCAUAUAUGGUUUCUUAGUCAAUUUGAAUGAAGGAAGAGAUAUCAUUCCUCAACUU
rnacentral:snoRNA from 1 species